rnacentral:lncRNA from 1 species
CUGACAAAGAGUCAGAUUAGGGGCAGAGCCAGCAUGAUUCAAACACAGCCCUGGCCAAUCAGCAUCUCCUCAUAGAGAAGAAUUGAAUCAAUGAAUCUCUAUGAGGAAAGUUCAGUGUCUGCAUGCAGAGGGAGGAGUCACUGAAUGUUUGGAUGCAUUUUAGGCAGCCAUGACCCAGGAAGGAUCUCUAACAGCCAUCUGAGGAGUGGCCAGUGAAGUGUAAUGUAAAUAGGCUGUAAUGUAUAUACUGCAUUUUCUCUGAAAAGACAGUGUUUACAGCAAAAAAAGUCUGAAGGUAAUGAUUCUACUCACCAGAACAAAUUCAAUAAGCUGUAGUUGUUCUGGUGGCUGUAGUGUCCCUUUAAUGCAAC